CAAGCUCCAUAGCCAAACCCACCUAGUUGGUAGCAAACCUCAGCAAUACAAGAGAGCAGGCAAUACAUUACACAGUACACACACACACACUAUAAACAAUUACAUUACACACACCCUGCACCUAUAAUGAGUACAGGGUGACUAAAACAUAAGAUAAAUAAAGCAGCCUACAUAAAUAGUCUGUCUGAAGGUAGACUAGGGGCUUUAAAGCCAGAUACGUGAAAGAGUCAUAGUCACAGGGGAGGAGGCUGGCAAGUAGGCCUCUCCAGGACCAAGUGGCGAAGGGCACUUCGUCACAACGGUAAAACGUCAGGCAGCCGAAGCUGCACACCAAUAGAGUCCUGUAAGAACGCUAAGGACCGGCCAGUGAGGAACUGAGAAAAGAAUGCUAGGGAGGGAGCUCACAUCAAGAGCUCACAUCACAAGCUUACACACAUGUAGAAGGAAAAAGUAGGAAAACACAUCGACAACGAGAACCCACAUGUGUACAUAGGUUAACCCCCCCUCCCCUCUACCGACCCACGAAACACAGAGGAGGGCACAAGGAAGAAAUGUAAGGCAAG